UAUUGCCCUUGUUAGUAAGACGAAAACAAUCACAACGUGGACGAAUUCGUUUUGAAAUUUAGGAAAGCUCGUUCUCUAAACCCAUUGAAGAAGGAGAAAAUUCUGCAAAUAUUAAAAAAUUUUCAAGGCCUAAAAAAACUAGGCGAAAAAUAUGUCGGGAAAUAUGCUGUAGAAAAAUGAUUGUGGAAAAGCAGAUACAAAUUGUUUCUGCAUCAGUUCGAGUCCUUAUGCUGUACUUAAUGAAGUUAGUGAUUCGUGUGCACAGUAGAAAUAGGCCUACGAGAGCUGGGAAAGAAUUGCCCAACAAAUGCCCUUCAAAAGAGAGAAAACGCAGGAACACAAGAAAAUGCAACCAAAAAAAAAAUACGAAAAGCACAAAAUUUUGGCAGAAGGAAGAAAGACAAAGCUUUUGCAAAAUUUAAAAGAAGACUUUUAUGUUCGCUUAACAACACAUUGAAAAUUUGAAUAGUUCAUACCGCUGAACUGUGAUAUAUUUGAUCCUGAUAUUAUGAUGUAAGAAGAGUUGAUUGUUUUAAAGAAGGAUGUUCAAGCACAAGCCUUUUCAAAAAUACAUGUGUAUGACAAAUUUUGUUAUUCUGAAGUCACCUGAGAUAAAUAUCCCAAAAUAAAAGUUGUU